rnacentral:misc_RNA from 1 species
UUUCCGUAGGUGAACCUGCGGAAGGAUCAUUAUUGAAUGAACUUCGUGUGGUUGUAGCUGGCCCUCUCGUCGGGGCCAUGUGCACACCCGCCAUCUUUAUCUCUCCACCUGUGCACAUCUUGUAGACCUGGAUAGACUUUCCGAGGCAACUCGGUCGGAGGGACUGCUGUGCGUCACUGCCGGCUUUCCUUGCAUAUCUAGGCCUAUGUUUUCAUAUACCCCAUAGUAUGUAACAGAAUGUAUCAUUGGGCCUCGUGCCUAUAAACUAUAUACAACUUUCAGCAACGGAUCUCUUGGCUCUC